rnacentral:rRNA from 1 species
UGAACGCUAGCGGCAGGCUUAACACAUGCAAGUCGAACGGUAACAUUGGUGCUUGCACCAGAUGACGAGUGGCGCACGGGUGCGUAACGCGUAUGCAAUCUACCUUUUACUGAAGAAUAGCCCAGAGAAAUUUGGAAUAAUCCUUCAUAAUAUCAUUUAUCAGCAUUGAUUUUUGAUUAAAGCUCCGGCGGUAAAAGAUGAGCAUGCGUUCUAUUAGCUAGUAGGUGAGGUAACGGCUCACCUAGGCUACGAUAGAUAGGGGCCCUGAGAGGGGGAUCCCCCACACUGGUACUGAGACACGGACCAGACUCCUACGGGAGGCAGCAGUGAGGAAUAUUGGACAAUGGAGGCAACUCUGAUCCAGCCAUGCCGCGUGCAGGAUGACUGCCCUAUGGGUUGUAAACUGCUUUUAUAUAGGAAGAAACACUCCCACGUGUGGGGGCUUGACGGUACUAUAGAAUAAGGAUCGGC